rnacentral:rRNA from 1 species
AGCCUGACUGGAACUGGUCGCAGAGGAUCAUUGAGGCCUCCCACUUAUUCUACACCUCUUAUGUCUCUUCACAGGGCCAAACUCGGGGACAGCGUCAGAUGGGGAGUUUGGCUGGCGCGGUACACCUGUCAAACCGCAACACAGGUGUCCUAAGGCGAGCUCAAAGAGGACAGAAACCUCCCGCGGAGCAGAAGGGCAAAAGCUCGCUUGAUCUUGAUUUUCAGUACGAAUACAGACCGUGAAAGCGGGGCCUCACGCUCCUUCUGGCUUUUUGGGUUUUAAGCAGGAGGUGUCAGAAAAGUU